rnacentral:rRNA from 1 species
CCUACGGGCGGCAGCAGUGAGGAAUAUUUGUCAAUGGACGAGAGUCUGAACCAGCCAAGUAGCGUGAAGGAUGACUGCCCUAUGGGUUGUAAACUUCUUUUAUAUGGGAAUAAAAUGUUCCACGUGUGGGAUUUUGUAUGUACCAUAUGAAUAAGGAUCGGCUAACUCCGUGCCAGCAGCCGCGGUAAUACGGAGGAUCCGAGCGUUAUCCGGAUUUAUUGGGUUUAAAGGGAGCGUAGGUGGAUUGUUAAGUCAGUUGUGAAAGUUUGCGGCUCAACCGUAAAAUUGCAGUUGAAACUGGCAGUCUUGAGUACAGUAGAGGUGGGCGGAAGUCGUGGUGUAGCGGUGAAAUGCUUAGAUAUCACGAAGAACUCCGAUUGCGAAGGCAGUUCACUGGACUGCAACUGACACUGAGGCUCGAAAGUGUGGGUAUCAAACAGGAUUAGAGACCCUAGUAGUC